rnacentral:rRNA from 1 species
AAACCAACAGGGAUUGCCUCAGUAGCGGCGAGUGAAGCGGCAAGAGCUCAGAUUUGAAAUCGUGCUUUGCGGCACGAGUUGUAGAUUGCAGGUUGGAGUCUGUGUGGAAGGCGGUGUCCAAGUCCCUUGGAACAGGGCGCCCAGGAGGGUGAGAGCCCCGUGGGAUGCCGGCGGAAGCAGUGAGGCCCUUCUGACGAGUCGAGUUGUUUGGGAAUGCAGCUCCAAGCGGGUGGUAAAUUCCAUCUAAGGCUAAAUACUGGCGAGAGACCGAUAGCGAACAAGUACUGUGAAGGAAAGAUGAAAAGCACUUUGAAAAGAGAGUGAAACAGCACGUGAAAUUGUUGAAAGGGAAGGGUAUUGCGCCCGACAUGGGGAUUGCGCACCGCUGCCUCUCGUGGGCGCGCUCUGGGCUUUCCCUGGGCCAGCAUCGGUUCUUGCUGCAGGAGAAGGGGUUCUGGAACGUGGCUCUUCGGAGUGUUAUAGCCAGGG